AUUUAAAUAGUUUAAAAAAACAUUACACUUUCAAUGUAAAAAUAAAAUAUUUAUUAUUUUUUUAAAUA
rnacentral:tRNA from 1 species